UGGGAUUCCUUUAUGAGGUGCAACCAAAACAGCUGUUUGACAUAGCAACAGGGAUAUUCUGGCAGGCUGUCGAGAAUUAGUUCUUGAAUACUGUUGUGGUUUUGAUCACUAAAAUGGCUGUGACUUUUGGACUCUCUUUGAGUGUUUCUUGGAUUUGUUGCCUGCUAAUUGGAGGGAUAACUUGUUUUACACUUAAAGGUAACGCUCAUGGGCAUCCUGCCUACACUGGACCUGAACCGACUGGAUCCUAUGCCCAAGCAAGUGUGGUGUCUGGUCCAAAUGUUAAAGCUACUGGCCACAAUGCCACGUGAGCGGAAGCUACUGGCCACAAUGCCACGUGAGCGGAAGCUACUGGCCACAAUGCCACGUGAGCGGAAGCUACUGGCCACAAUGCCACGUGAGCGGAAGCUACUGGCCACAAUGCCACGUCAGCGGAAGCUACUGGCCACAAUGCCACGACAGCGGAAGCAACUGGCCACAAAGCCACGUCAGCGGAAGCUACUGGCCACAAUGCCACGUCAAGUGUGAAGUCCGGCCCCUCAGCAGAAGCUUCAGGCCCCGGCGCCUCAGCAGAAGCUUCAGGCCCCGGCGCCUCAGCAGAAGCUUCAGGCCCCGGCGCCUCAGCAGAAGCUUCAGGCCCCGGCGCCUCAGCAGAAGCUUCAGGCCCCGGCGCCUCAGCAGAAGCUUCAGGCGCCUCAGCGGAAGCUUCAGGCGCCUCAGCGGAAGCUUCAGGCCACUCAGCAGGAGCUUCAGGCCACUCAGCAGAAGCGUCCGGCCCCGGCACCUCAGCAGAAGCGACAAGCCUUGAACAGACGGCCCGACCACUCAACUAGGGAGAUCAUAGUUUGGUUUGGCCAACUCCUUAAUCGUCUUAUCCCUGUUACCCUUUUCUGCUAGAGGCACAGUAAAGGUAACUGAGGUGGGGAAAUGUGCGAACUAAUGCGCUUGUUUGAAAUGAGGAUCUCCUUCACUUGUACAUCGUCAUGCAAAUUGUAUACAGAGGUGGAUGAUACAAUGUUAUGAAUCGUUUUUAUAAACAUACGACUAAAUUGACUUCUGAUGUAGCGAUAUUGCAGACACACUUUUAGGUUCUACGGUUAUGCUUUUGAUUUAGCCUGGUGUUCCUGCUACUCUUGCAUGAUUUGCUCAAUAAACCAUUUGACUUUCAAAA